UAACGAAUCUUCCGCAAUGCACGAAAGUGUGACGGAGCGACGCCGCGUGUAGGACGAAGCCCUUCGGGGUGUAAACUACUGUCAGGGGAAAGAUGAUUACCCCAGAGGAAGGCACGGCUAACUCUGUGCCAGCAGCCGCGGUAAGACAGAGGUGCCGAGCGUUAGGCGGAAUCACUGGGCUUAAAGCGUGUGUAGGCGGAUGCCUAAGUACCUUGUGAAAUCCCACGGCUCAACCGUGGAACUGCUUGGUAUACUGGGUGUCUUGAGCCAGAUAGGGGCGACCGGAACAGACGGUGGAGCGGUGAAAUGCGUAGAUAUCGUCUGGAACGCCAAUGGUGAAAACAGGUCGCUGGGUCUGUGCUGACGCUGAGACACGAAAGCCAGGGGAGCAAACGGGAUUAGAUACCCCAGUAGU
rnacentral:rRNA from 1 species